CCUACGAGUGGCAGCAGUGAGGAAUAUUGGUCAAUGGACGAGAGUCUGAACCAGCCAAGUAGCGUGAAGGAUGACUGCCCUAUGGGUUGUAAACUUCUUUUAUAUGGGAAUAAAACAGGGUACGCAUACCCUCUUGUAUGUACCCUAUGAAUAAGGAUCGGCUAACUCCGUGCCAUCAGCCGCGGUAAUCCGGAGGAUCCGAGCGUUAUCCGGAUUUAUUGGGUUUAAAGGGAGCGUAGGUGGGUUGUUAAGUCAGUUGUGAAAGUUUGCGGCUCAACCGUAGAAUUGCAGUUGAAACUGGCAGUCUAGAGUACAGUAGAGGUGGGCGGAAUUCGUGGUGUAGCGGUGAAAUGCUUAGAUAUCACGAAGAACACCGAUUGCGAAGGCAGCUCACUGGACUGCAACUGACACUGAUGCACGAAAGUGUGGGUAUCAAACAGGAUUAGAUACCCUUGUAGUC
rnacentral:rRNA from 1 species